CUACGGGGGGCACCAGUGGGGAAUUUUGGACAAUGGGCGCAAGCCUGAUCCAGCAAUGCCGCGUGCAGGAAGAAGGCCUUCGGGUUGUAAACUGCUUUUGUACGGAACGAAACGGCGAGCUCUAAUACAGUUUGCUAAUGACGGUACCGUAAGAAUAAGCACCGGCUAACUACGUGCCAGCAGCCGCGGUAAUACGUAGGGUGCGAGCGUUAAUCGGAAUUACUGGGCGUAAAGCGUGCGCAGGCGGUUUUGUAAGACAGGCGUGAAAUCCCCGGGCUCAACCUGGGAAUGGCGCUUGUGACUGCAAAGCUGGAGUGCGGCAGAGGGGGAUGGAAUUCCGCGUGUAGCAGUGAAAUGCGUAGAUAUGCGGAGGAACACCGAUGGCGAAGGCAAUCCCCUGGGCCUGCACUGACGCUCAUGCACGAAAGCGUGGGGAGCAAACAGGAUUAGAUACCCGGGUAGUC
rnacentral:rRNA from 1 species